rnacentral:rRNA from 1 species
GACGAACGCUGGCGGCGUGCUUAACACAUGCAAGUCGAACGGAAAGGCCCUGCUUGCAGGGUACUCGAGUGGCGAACGGGUGAGUAACACGUGGGUGAUCUGCCCUGCACUUCGGGAUAAGCCCGGGAAACUGGGUCUAAUACCGGAUAUGACCUUCCAUGUAGUGUGGGGGGUGGAAAGAUUUAUCGGUGUGGGAUGAGCCCGCGGCCUAUCAGCUUGUUGGUGGGGUAAUGGCCUACCAAGGCGUCGACGGGUAGCCGGCCUGAGAGGGUGGACGGCCACAUUGGGACUGAGAUACGGCCCAGACUCCUACGGGAGGCAGCAGUGGGGAAUAUUGCACAAUGGGCGGAAGCCUUAUGCAGCGACGCCGCGUGGGGGAUGACGGCCUUCGGGUUGUAAACCUCUUUCGACAGGGACGAAGCUUCGGUGACGGUACCUGUAGAAGAAGCACCGGCUAACUACGUG